UAGCAUAUCAAUAAGCGGAGGAAAAGAAACUAACAAGGAUUCCCCUAGUAACUGCGAGUGAAGCGGGAAAAGCUCAAAUUUAAAAUCUGGCAGCUUUGGCUGUCCGAGUUGUAGUCUGGAGAAGCGUCUUCCGCGCUGGACCGUGUACAAGUCUCUUGGAACAGAGCGUCAUAGAGGGUGAGAAUCCCGUCCAUGACACGGACUACCAGUGCUUUGUGAUGCGCUCUCAAAGAGUCGAGUUGUUUGGGAAUGCAGCUCAAAAUGGGUGGUAAAUUCCAUCUAAAGCUAAAUAUUGGCGAGAGACCGAUAGCGAACAAGUACCGUGAGGGAAAGAUGAAAAGCACUUUGGAAAGAGAGUUAAACAGUACGUGAAAUUGCUGAAAGGGAACCGCUUGAAGUCAGUCGCGUCUUGCAGAACUCAACCUGGCAUUUGCUUGGUGCACUUUCUGUAUGACGGGCCAACAUCAGUUUUGACUGCUGGAAAAAUUCCUUAGGAAUGUGGCACCUACGGGUGUGUUAUAGCCUUUGGUUGUAUACAGUGGUUGGGACUGAGGACCGCAGCACGCCUUAUGGCCGGGGUUCGCCCACGUACGUGCUUAGGAUGUUGGCGUAAUGGCUUUAAGCGACCCGUCUUGAAACACGGACCAAGGAGUCUAACAUGCCUGCGAGUGUUUGGGUGGUAAACCCGAGCGCGUAAUGAAAGUGAAAGUUGGGAUCCCUGUCGUGGGGAGCACCGACGCCCAUACCAGACCUUCUGUGACGGCUAUGCGGUUGAGCAUGUAUGUUGGGACCCGAAAGAUGGUGAACUAUGCCUGAAUAGGGUGAAGCCAGAGGAAACUCUGGUGGAGGCUCGUAGCGAUUCUGACGUGCAAAUCGAUCGUCAAAUUUGGGUAUAGGGGCGAAAGACUAAUCGAACCAUCUAGUAGCUGGUUCC
rnacentral:rRNA from 1 species